CAGUAGCCGCGGUAAUACGAAGGGGGCUAGCGUUGUUCGGAAUUACUGGGCGUAAAGCGCACGUAGGCGGACAUUUAAGUCAGGGGUGAAAUCCCGGGGCUCAACCCCGGAACUGCCUUUGAUACUGGGUGUCUAGAGUAUGGAAGAGGUGAGUGGAAUUCCGAGUGUAGAGGUGAAAUUUGUAGAUAUUCGGAGGAACACCAGUGGCGAAGGCGGCUCACUGGUCCAUUACUGACGCUGAGGUGCGAAAGCGUGGGGAGCAAACAGGAUUAGAUACCCCGGUAGUCCCUGUCUCUUAUAC
rnacentral:rRNA from 1 species